rnacentral:rRNA from 1 species
AUGGUGGCUGACAAGGAGCAGGCAAUUACUGAAUUGGGCAAUGCAAGACUUGCUCUUUCUGACCUAAAGGAAGAGCUUGAGAAGAAGAAGAUGUCUGAUAAAUCUACCAGCAGCAUUCAUCAGGUUGUGAGGGCUAAGGCAGAGAAAGAGAGGGAUGAGAUGAAGCAACAGAUGGACAACAUGAAGGAAGAUUUGGAUAAAGUGGUGUCACACAGGGAUGAGCUGAAGAAGGAGAAGAAGAAACUAGAGUACAUGAUUGGUGAUUUGUUCAGGCACAAGGAGGAGACCAAGAGCAAGAUAAGGAGGGUGAAGGAGAUCUUAGAUGAAUUUGAGUAA